GAGAGCAAUAACCCCGUAGACGAUAUCUGAGACACGAUAUCGGGCCCUACGGGGCGCAGCAGGCGCGAAACCUUCACACUGUGCGAAAGCGCGAUGAGGGGAUCCCAAGUGCUUGCUCUUAAGAUAAGCUGUUUUCCUGUUUAAAUCGCAGGGAGAGGAAGGGCUGGGUAAGACGGUUGCCAGCCGCCGCGAUAAAACCUGCAGCUCAAGUGGUGGCCGCUAUUAUUGGGACUAAAACGUCCGUAGCCGGUUUAGUAAAUGCUUGGGUAAAUUGUGUAGCUUAACUAUACAAAUACCGAGUAGACUGCUAGACUUGGGACCGGGAGAGGCUAGAGGUACUCCUGGGGUAGAGGUGAAAUUCUGUAAUCCUAGGGGGACCACCAGUGGCGAAGGCGUCUGGCUAGAACGGGUCUGACGGCGAGGGACGAACCCCUGGGGCGCAAACGGUAUUAGAUACCCCGGUAGUCCAGGGUGUAAACGCUGCUUGCUUGAUGUUAGCUGGGCUCCAAGCUCAGCUAGUGUCGGAGAGAAGUUGUUAACCAAGCUGCCUGGGAAGUACGAUCGCAAGAUUGAAACUUAAAGGAAUUGGCGGG
rnacentral:rRNA from 1 species